rnacentral:rRNA from 1 species
ACUACGGGGCGCUGCAGUGAGGAAUAUUGGUCAAUGGACGCAAGUCUGAACCAGCCAUGCCGCGUGCAGGAAGACGGCUCUAUGAGUUGUAAACUGCUUUUGUACGAGGGUAAAUCCCGAUACGUGUAUCGGGUUGAAAGUAUCGUACGAAUAAGGAUCGGCUAACUCCGUGCCAGCAGCCGCGGUAAUACGGAGGAUUCAAGCGUUAUCCGGAUUUAUUUGGUUUAAAGGGUGCGUAGGCGGUUCGAUAAGUUAGAGGUGAAAGCCCGGGGCUCAACUCCGGCACUGCCUCUGAUACUGUCGGGCUAGAGUUUAGUUGCGGUAGGCGGAGUGUAUGGUGUAGCGGUGAAAUGCAUAGAGAUCAUACAGAACACCGAUUGCGAAGGCAGCUUACCAAACUACGACUGACGUUGAGGCACGAAAGCGUGGGGAGCAAACAGGAUUAGAUACCCGAGUAGUC